GGACGAACGCUGGCGGCGUGCCUAACACAUGCAAGUCGAGCGAGGAGAUCCUUCGGGAUGAUCCUAGCGGCGGACGGGUGAGUAACACGUGGGCAACCUGCCUCAUAGAGAGGAAUAGCCCUCCGAAAGGGAGAUUAAUACCUCAUAACAUUGCAGUUUCGCAUGGAACAGCAAUUAAAGGAGUAAUCCGCUAUGAGAUGGGCCCGCGGCGCAUUAGCUAGUUGGUGAGGUAACGGCUCACCAAGGCGACGAUGCGUAGCCGACCUGAGAGGGUGAUCGGCCACAUUGGGACUGAGACACGGCCCAGACUCCUACGGGAGGCAGCAGUGGGGAAUAUUGCACAAUGGGGGAAACCCUGAUGCAGCCAACGCCGCGUGAGUGAUGACGGCCUUCGGGUUGUAAAGCUCUGUCUUCAGGGACGAUAAUGACGGUACCUGAGGAGGAAGCCACGGCUAACUACGUGCCAGCAGCUGC
rnacentral:rRNA from 1 species